rnacentral:rRNA from 1 species
GACGAACGCUGGCGGCGUGCUUAACACAUGCAAGUCGAACGAAGAUAUGUUGAAAGCUUGCUGAUGCAUAUUUUAGUGGCGGACGGGUGAGUAACGCGUGAGGACUUGUCUAGUACAGGGGGACAACAGUUGGAAACGGCUGCUAAUACCCCAUAAGCCUAAGGGUAAAAGGAGCAAUCCGGUACAUGAGAGACUCGCGUCCUAUCAGCUAGUAGGUGGGGUAACGGCCCACCUAGGCGAAGACGGGUAGCCGGCCUGAGAGGGCGAACGGCCACACUGGAACUGAGACACGGUCCAGACUCCUACGGGAGGCAGCAGUGGGGAAUAUUGGGCAAUGGAGGGGAACUCUGACCCAGCGACGCCGCGUGAGUGAAGAAAUCCCUCGGAUGUAAAGACUCUGUUGUGUUGGGAAGAGUAAUGACGGUACCACACGAGGAAG